GUUAAGUAGACCGCCUGGGGAGUACGGCCGCAAGGUUAAAACUCAAAUGAAUUGACGGGGGCCCGCACAAGCGGUGGAGCAUGUGGUUUAAUUCGAUGCAACGCGAAGAACCUUACCUGGUCUUGACAUCCACAGAACUUUCCAGAGAUGGAUUGGUGCCUUCGGGAACUGUGAGACAGGUGCUGCAUGGCUGUCGUCAGCUCGUGUUGUGAAAUGUUGGGUUAAGUCCCGCAACGAGCGCAACCCUUAUCCUUUGUUGCCAGCGAUUAGG
rnacentral:rRNA from 1 species